UACUACGAAGAGUUUGAUCCUGGCUCAGGAUGAACGCUAGCGGCAGGCCUAAUACAUGCAAGUCGAACGACAUUUUUGAUUUCGGUUAAAAAUGAGUGGCGAACGGGUGAGUAACACGUAUGCAAUCUACCCCUUACCGGGGCAUAGCUUCGAGAAAUCGAAAUUAAUACCCCAUAAUAUUCAUAGAAGGCAUCUUCAUUGAAUUAAAGUUCCGGCAGUAAGGGAUGAGCAUGCGGCCCAUUAGCUUGUUGGUGAAGGUAACGGCUCACCAAGGCUACGAUGGGUAGCUGGUCUGAGAGGAUGAUCAGCCACACUGG
rnacentral:rRNA from 1 species